GGAAGUAGAUAUGUAUAGGGGGAAGGAGACAGGGAUACUGGAGUGAUGGAGGUAGACAUGUAUAGGGGGAAGGAGACAGGGAUACUGGAGUGAUGGAGGUAGAUAUGUAUAGGGGGAAGGAGACAGGGAUACUGGAGUGAUGGAGGUAGAUAUGUAUAGGGGGAAGGGGCCAGGGAUACUGGAGUGAUGGAGGUAGAUAUGUAUAGGGGGAAGGAGACAGGGAUACUGGAGUGAUGGAGGUAGAUAUGGAUGUCUAUUUAAAACAGAUUGUUAUAUACAAGCAUUUCACUACACCCACAAUAACAUCUACUAAACACUUGUCUGUGACCAAUGAAAUUGUAUUUGAUUUAUUUAUAGGGGUAAGGGGACUAGGCAUCAGGAUAUAUGAUAAACCUAUUCCCCCUCAGGAAACUAAAAAGAUUUGGCAUGGGUCCUGAGAUCCUCAAAAGGUUCUACAGCUGCACCAUCGAGAGCAUCCUGGUUGCAUCACUGCCUCGUAUGGCAACUGCUCAGCCUCUGACCGCAAGGCAUUACAGAGGGUAGUGCGUACGGCCCAGUACAUCACCAGGGUCAAAACUCCUGCCAUCCACGACCUCUAUACCAGGCGGUGUCAGAGGAAGGCCCUAAAAAUUGUCAAAGACCCCAGGUACCCCAGUCAUAGACUGUUCUCUCUACUACCGCAUGGCAAGCGGUAUCGGUGCGCCAAGUCUAGGACAAAAAAGCUUCUCAACCAUUUUUAACCCCAAGACUCCUGAACAGGUAAUCAAAUGGACUAUUUGCA
ensembl:lncRNA